rnacentral:lncRNA from 1 species
CAUUCUAACACUCCUAAGUGUACAUGCAACCCUAAAUACCUUGGAUCUAUGUUUUCUCUAUUAUACAUGCAAAUAAGAACUUCCAAGGUAUUAUCCUAAUCUAGCAUAUAAAACAAUGAAUAUAACAAGAUAGAAUACAUACCUCUUAUGUAGAAAAGUCUUCAUGAAGCUUGAGUGCCUAGUGCCCCAAGUGUGACACCUCAAAUGGAAUCACAAUCAUCAAAACACUUAGAAUAACUUGAGAGAAUUCUACAACUCAUGAAAUCGGCUAGCCCUCUCUAGAAUAAUACUAGUCGUCGAUUUUGGUCAAGAAUAAGAUGCUUAUAUAGUUAGGGUUACACCAUGUAAACCCUAAUUGACAUGGCCUUUCAUUUCCAUGAUCCAUGGGUACAAAUACACCAUGGAGCAUCCAUGGACCAUCCUAUGGGUUUUAGCCCAACUUGAUUAUCCAUGGAGCAUUAGCCCACUAUACAAGUAUGGAUGAUUUACACAAUCAACCCAUAUAUUUAAUUAGUCUUCUUUUGAUCACUUAAUUAAUCCUAGAUUAAUUCUUGAUCAAUACUAAUUAAAUAAUCUUAUUAUUCUUAUUAUUAAUAUACUAGAACUUAUAAUAUAUUAAUAACCAUAAGUGUCUUAUUUCUCUCAUUAUAGUCUAUCCAAGUGCAUGAUGGUAUGCAACCCAAAUGGACCAUGCCGGGUCGGGUCAAGUCUUACCAAUUAUAGUUAUGGACUUAGACAUUAAUCCAACAGUCUCCCACUUGGAUAAGUCUAAAACUAUUAUUGCGUAUGACUUCAGGAACCAACUGGCAAUCGUAGCUCUCAAAAGCUUCUGUCGAACUCUGACCUUGUAGAUGAACUCUGACCUUUGUCAAUGACUUGUCCAUUAGAUAAGGGAUCAUAUAUUCCUCCAUUCUAGAUAUCAUAUGGACUGAGACAUGGAUUAUAAUCAUUCUCUCUGUCCAUUUGUUGUUUCCCGAUUUCCGAUUUAUGACGACUGACUAAUUGAACAAAUCAAAUCAGUCCUGGCCCGGCCGAGCACUUCCAUUUGUCAUCAUCAAAUCAUCGAGGGGCCCACAGAUAUCGCUUUUAUCCCGAAGGUAAAAGGAAUGGAUAAACUUCGACUCAUAUGGCUUGUUCUACUACUUGUUGAAUCAUACACAAAGGCACGUUUUAUAGCACCGAGUUACCAAAUGCGUUUUCGUGCAAUCAAUGUACUAUCAACUCAUAGUAACAACUCAUAUCUCUAGGUUUGAAGAAUAUAAGAUAUUAUCGUCUCAUGAUCACUCGUGAUAAAAUCCAUGAAGUGAUUCCAAUGAGCGCGGGUUGAAUCCAAUACUCAGAACUUAUGAGCACUCAUGAGUGUUGUAGCCCUUUGUCCAACACCUUAGACCUCUACAAGCCAACCCAUGACAGUCUUAAUUCAUAUCUACUUCCAACAUAUGACCGACUGUGGAUGGUUUGAAUAACUUAGUCAUUCCGGAAGAAUAACCCAGUUUAUUCGGGAAGUCAAAACAUGCAAAAUGAAACACAAUAAUAAUUGAAUCCAAUAUGGUAUCAACCCUUUGAACAUAAAUAAAACACCUUUUAUUUAUCACCAUAUGAUUACACAUUAUUCAUUGUAUACUGUUUCAGCUAUCAACUUUAUUCUUGAAUUUAAAACAAUAGUUGUCCCAUGCUCCAAGCAUGUACACUAUGUUUUCUUAAACACUAGUCAUGCCACACACCAAGUAUGCAUACUAUGUUUGUCUAUGAUCUUUACUUUGUGAACUAGAUCAAUUGAACAUAACUUCAAUGAUUCUCUUUUCACACUCCCAAAUCCUUACUGCAAAUGCAAGAAUUCCAAAUUCAUGCCAUUUACUGAAAUCUGUUAGAUUCUAAACUUAUAUGCAUUGAUCCUCUUGUAAUGAUUAUGCACAAAGUCACAAAGACUUGGCAACAAUCAUUACAGAGUAUUCCAAAGGAGAUCAACUCCUUGGAAAUAUCCUUCUUGCAUUAAGUUUCCUUAAUCUUACACAGAUUGAAAAUUCUAACUUUGAAACAUUUCCAGAUUCCAUUUUGACUAUCACUUCUGAACAAGAGUUGCCUCCUUACAGAUUAUGUCAAUAUGGUCCUUCCAGAAUUAUCACUAUACUUCCAAUUGUCCUUGAGUAACCAAUCUUUGGUAAACCUUAGAUUGUCCUCGACAAUUGUUUAAUCCUUUUAGUCAUAUCCAGUUCUAAACCUUUUCCCUUCUUAAUGCCCCAGGCAUUUGGAAAAUUUUAGAACGGAUGAAUAUAGCACAUGUAAUCGAUCCUAUAUCCGAAGCAUAUGGGACACGAUUCAUGAUGUCUUACAUAAAGACUAAACCAGUCUUUUGCUAUAAUAUUUCCAUUUCAAUUUGCCAAGUUCUCAUAAUUCAGAUUAUGAAAAGGGAUGCCGUAAUCAUAAUCGAAUUUUAGAACGCAAAUAAUGGACCCAUAUACAGAAUUUCCUUAUGUUGAGCCAUUCCAACAUGAAAUUCAUAUAUAUCCUUGACUAAAUGAUUAAAACCUCACGAUCUAAGCUUAUAGAUUUGAGAUGAAGCAUAAUUUCCUCUCCCUUAAUUAUAGCAAAACAACUUUUUCCCAAUUGAAACUUUUGUUUUCUAUAAUUAACAUUGCUAACUUGCAAUACUUAUCAUAAUUAUCAUGCUCCCACUAACAUGAUGAUUAUUAGCAUAACACUUAUGCUCCCACUAGCUUUGACAUGUACUCAGAAAUCAGCUGGACAGUCUGAAAUUUAGAUUCAUACACCCUUUCCGUAGAUAGCUCACCUGUGUGUCUAAGCAAUUUCAAGAACCAUGAAAAGGGAUACCGUAAUCAUGGUCUCAAUUGCUUAGGCAUUUGCCAUUUCUCACAAGUCCAUGUUAGUGUGCCGGUUAACCACACGCGCUCCACUAACGACUUUUGAAAAUGCAAAUAACACAAUUGAUAUCUUCGUAAAAUCUACUUAGUGAAAGCGUUUCCUCACCAUCAUUUUCAUGAAUCGGAGAGAAACCUUAUGACACUUAGAUUUAUAUGGUGUAUGAGUUCCUACCCAUAUGAAUUUGUCAAACCAUAAUCACAAGACAAAGAUAAUGACAAAUCCAAAACCAUAUGGAUUGAACUCAAUCUUAACUUCUUGCCACCUGGCAGCUCAAGGGCCUGCCAUUGCUUCCAAGUUGUUAUGCAACAAACUGAGAACUCUAAGAACUCAUAUGCAAAGCCAACUUUAACUGGAAUGGGCACAGAUAUGUCAACACGAUAGGUUAUAAACCUCAAGUCGUGUGCUAGUGAAGAACUUUAGGUUUUAUUCUUGAUUAUUUCUUGAGACUUUCAAGACCUUUAAGACUCCCACUGUCCUCUUGACAUAUAAGACUCCCUUGUCAAACAUCCAAGAGAUAGUGCGGAUUCUAAUCAAGAAAAACACUUUACCCAAUUGGCCUAAGUUGGUCUUUGUUUUAUCCAAAACAUCACAACUUACCAAUUUCAAAUGUACAAGAGUAGAAAACUUUUACUCUUACAUUUGACAAGUGUUUUAAACCUUCUUUAAGACAUGUCACUCAAAUGACAAUCUUGGAGUAUGACUCUAAGACUUGUAUUGGAACGAAGUAUGACUCAUCUUCUUGAUUUAACCAUUUCAACAAUUCAAGUUCCUCUUCUUAGUCAUAAGAAUGCACUAAGAUUUCCUUAGAGAACUAAUUUUGAUAUGGUUUCUUAAUCAUUAAGAUGAUCACAAAACUGAUACUAAAGUACUCUCCCAUCUUUUCAGAUUUGAGAAACUUUUAUCCUUCUGCCUUAUUUGAUUCUUCUUAUCGAUCUUUAGUGGUGGACUUAAUCAGUGCACAAGAAUGUGUACUCGAUCCCUAAGUCCUUUACUUGACUCACACAUCCAUGUGAACAAGUAAUUAGUCUUAAUUUUCCAAAACUUGAAAGUUCUCAUUCAUCAUGCUAUACAACUUGCAUGAUUCCAAGUUCCGGUCCAAUUGAAACUUGGGUGAUGAGAAUCUUUCCUUAUUUGGUAAAUUUAGACAUUACCACAAAUGAAAGAAUCAAUUUCAUAUUUCCACUCUUGCUCUUAAUGGAAUCAUAUAAGCAACAAUUUUUCCUCAAAUGCCAUUGUAAGGAUAUUUUAAAAUAAAUAAAAUCAAAAAAAUUUUCUUUUAUUUUAAAACUUUGCGGAAAAACUUAUCCUUACAAUCCAUAUGAAAACUUGUUGUUAUCUAUUCCUAAGCAAUAUCUCAUAACUCCUAAGAAGUAGCUCAAGAAUCCGAUCUUCAAACUAUGCGAUAGAAAUCCAUCUACGCCAUCAGAUUCAGCAUAUUCUUUCUUUAAGUUUCUUCACUUUUCUUUGAUUCUUAAAACAUCACCAUGUGACCCAGUCACAUCAUGUAUCAAGAAUCUCAGAAUAGAAACUUAACAGAGUUAGAUAGUGGACUUUACCUGAAGUAGAGUCAAACUUAUUGACUUUAACAUCCUUAGGUAAAUUUGGCAGCUUCGCAACCAAUGCCCCUUCCUUUGGCAAUAUAAACAUAUGGACCCUUUGAUAAUGGUACACGGGACUAUCACAGACUUAGCUUUUCUCUUUACCAUUUGGUCAACCGAGUUGACUAUGGCCGAUCCCUUUCCAUUGGGAAGAGAAUGCUUUACUGGAUAUCCAAUGUCAUCAUUGUCAAUGUCCAUAAAGUUUUAGGAAGUUGAUCUUAGCAAAUAGAUAAGAUCAUUAAGGGUCUUGUCAUAGUCUGUUUCAUAGGUGUCCCAAAGGAACUCACUAUGUGACUUAGAAAGUGGUUGAACCACCAACUUUCUCAAGACUUUGACACCCAACUCUCCCGGCUUGUCAAUAUGUGACUACAUCUCCAAGAUGUGACCACACCUAGACCUUGCCUUGCCAAUAGGGCCUGAGUGACCUUAAACUUUUCAAGAACUUGUGGGUUAGGGAGAAUAAUUUGAAGAGGUGAAGAAGUAUGAUAUCCAUGGGACAUCAUCUUCAUUAGGAAACCUUGUUUCAAGAGAUUUGGGAAGAUCAUAGGUGUCUAAACCAGACAUCUUUUGGGAGAUAUUCAAGAUAGUUGAUUUAAAGUCCUUAAUAUGACACCCAAUAUGAAAUAUUAAGGCUAGGACCCAACAAACUAUUUUAUAACUUAGAAGAGGUAUGCCGUAAUCCAAGCUAUAAAAUAUUUGAAGGUAGGUGAAUGACGAUUCACCAAUUUCCACCAAGAUAAACGAAAUGUAUUAUUAGGUUUUAAUUGGUUUUGAAACUCCUAGAUCUUUGAGAUUCAUUGAACUUUUCAAAGGCAUGUUUCAAUCUCGAGUGUGCCCUUCAGGUUUUGUGACUGGGAUGCCGAGGAUCACAAAACAAGGUGUGAAGUAACCAUGCAAAUCACUUGGUACCCUUAAUAAAUUACCCCUCAAUCGAUGUGCCGGUUAACCACACACGCUCCAUCGAUACUAUGAUAAAUAUUAAGUCACCCUUUACCUACCUUGUUAAGUCCAAGUUAGUGUGCCGGUUAACCACACACGCUCCACUAACGACUUAGACAAAGUGUAAAGUGUAAUUUCAUGGAUUAGCACCUUAUUCACAUUUUUCCUAAGUAACUAAGAUUGGGUAUUAUUAAGAGUUUAGUUACUUAGUAUUAUCAUUAAUACUUUUAAUGAAGGGAGAAUUCUAGUCCUGUCAAACCCGUUCGGCUAACGACCCUCCACCAGUCAAGCAAGCGGUGGGUGAGAGUGGACACCCAUUAAGUUGCCAUUUUAUAGGCAACAACCUUAUACCCACCUUAUAGACCGGCUUCGUGAAUGAGGCGUACUAGCGGUAAGACUGACUUUACUCUUAUACAUAUAUAUAUUAUUAACUUAUAAUAUUAUAAAGUAUAAGGGUUGAAUUUUAACUUUUAAAAUUCUAAGGGCUAACUUGGAAUUAAAGUAUUCAUACGUGAAAACUUUUCAAAUUCCAAAACUUGAGGGCAAGUUUUGAAACUAUUCAAAACUAAUUAAUUCCAUAACUUAUGUGUUUAAAGUAGUUUUAAUCCAAAAACUCUUCAAGUUCCAUAACUUGAGGACAAGUUAUGGAAGACUUUAAACUAAUAAAAGAACUAACUUUUUCUUUAUUUUAUAACUUAUGGAUUUAAUUAUGGUUACAUAUUUUUCUUUAAUGAAGUGACUCUUGAACUUCCAUAACUUGAGGACAAGUUAUGGAGUCAAAAAAAAUUAUUCAAUGACACAAGACUCUUCAUUUUGUAACCAUUGCCAACUUUUAUGAAUUUUAUGAGUCUUUAAUGUGACUCUUCAUGUAACUUGAGGACAAGUUACACAAACACAUUUUAUACUCAACUCUUAGAUUAAAAUGGAUUGAAAACAACUAUUUCACUCAACAUUUCUAUUAAUCUAAGCAACUCAUAAGAACAAGAUAAUUCAAAUCAAACUUUUUCAUGUAAUUAGUCUAAACCUUAAACUAAUACAAAACAUGAAUCUAUUGACAAUUAUCUUUGAAAAUGGAUUAGCAUGAACAUUACCACAUCAAAAACAAGUUUAUAAGUUCAAAAACAACUUAGGGUAAUGUUCCUAGUCCAUUUCUAGCCAAAAAACUCGAAAAUAUGCUGUCUGGGGGUCCAACUCGUCGAGUGCAUGAACCAACUCGGCGAGUUGGAUCGAAUUGAUCACAUUUUAGGCAUGGACUCGCCGAGUCCUCUGAUGGACUCGCCGAGUCUGAUGAUCAGACAGCACCAAAUUCGUUUUUUCAGCUUCUAUUGCAGGUAUAACAAGAAAACAAGCCUAGGCUCUGAUACCACUGUUGGGUUUUGAGCAUUCUAACACUCCUAAGUGUACAUGCAACCCUAAAUACCUUGGAUCUAUGUUUUCUCUAUUAUACAUGCAAAUAAGAACUUCCAAGGUAUUAUCCUAAUCUAGCAUAUAAAACAAUGAAUAUAACAAGAUAGAAUACAUACCUCUUAUGUAGAAAAGUCUUCAUGAAGCUUGAGUGCCUAGUGCCCCAAGUGUGACACCUCAAAUGGAAUCACAAUCAUCAAAACACUUAGAAUAACUUGAGAGAAUUCUACAACUCAUGAAAUCGGCUAGCCCUCUCUAGAAUAAUACU